rnacentral:rRNA from 1 species
AUUGAACGCUGGCGGCAGGCUAACACAUGCAAGUCGAGCGGUAAAGAGAAGCUUGUUUCUCUUGUGAGUGGCGUGCGGAUGAGUGAUGCCUAGGAAUCUGACUGGCCGUGGGGGAUAACGUUCCUAUUGGAACGCUUAUACAGCACACGACCUAAUUGAGUAAGCAAGGGUCAUUCAGUGAUUGCUGCAUCUGAUGAGCUAAGGUAUGGUCAUGUAGUGGGGGAGGUAGUUGGUCACCUAGCGGAUAUCAGGGCGACGAUACAGAGGAGACUUAGGACGUUGGAACUGAGACACGGACUAGACUACGAGGGGAAUAGUACGGGGGUGUGGAGGGAGUGCGCAGGAUGACGGGGAAUUGGACUGUCGUGGAAAGGCGUCAGAUAGUAAUUCGUUCGGUAGGUGGAAGUCAUUCCGAACAGGUGUUAGA